rnacentral:rRNA from 1 species
UCAGUGGCGAACGGGUGAGUAACACGUGAGCAACCUGCCCCUGACUCUGGGAUAAGCGCUGGAAACGGCGUCUAAUACUGGAUAUGUGACGUGACCGCAUGGUCUGCGUUUGGAAAGAUUUUUCGGUUGGGGAUGGGCUCGCGGCCUAUCAGCUUGUUGGUGAGGUAAUGGCUCACCAAGGCGUCGACGGGUAGCCGGCCUGAGAGGGUGACCGGCCACACUGGGACUGAGACACGGCCCAGACUCCUACGGGAGGCAGCAGUGGGGAAUAUUGCACAAUGGGCGCAAGCCUGAUGCAGCAACGCCGCGUGAGGGAUGACGGCCUUCGGGUUGUAAACCUCUUUUAGCAGGGAAGAAGCGAAAGUGACGGUACCUGCAGAAAAAGCGCCGGCUAACUACGUGCCAGCAGCCGCGGUAAUACGUAGGGCGCAAGCGUUAUCCGGAAUUAUUGGGCGUAAAGAGCUCGUAGGCGGUUUGUCGCGUCUGCUGUGAAAUCCCGAGGCUCAACCUCGGGCCUGCAGUGGGUACGGGCAGACUAGAGUGCGGUAGGGGAGAUUGGAAUUCCUGGUGUAGCGGUGGAAUGCGCAGAUAUCAGGAGGAACACCGAUGGCGAAGGCAGAUCUCUGGGCCGUAACUGACGCUGAGGAGCGAAAGGGUGGGGAGCAAACAGGCUUAGAUACCCUGGUAGUCCACCCCGUAAACGUUGGGAACUAGUUGUGGGGUCCAUUCCACGGAUUCCGUGACGC